ACGAACGCUGGCGGCGUGCUUAACACCUGCAAGUCGAACGGAAAGGCCCUGCUUUUGUGGGGUGCUCGAGUGGCGAACGGGUGAGUAACACGUGAGUAACCUGCCCUUGACUUUAGGAUAACUUCAGGAAACUGGGGCUAAUACCGGAUAGGAGCUCCUGCUGCAUGGUGGGGGUUGGAAAGUUUCGGCGGUUGGGGAUGGACUCGCGGCUUAUCAGCUUGUUGGUGGGGUAGUGGCUUACCAAGGCUUUGACGGGUAGCCGGCCUGAGAGGGUGACCGGCCACAUUGGGACUGAGAUACGGCCCAGACUCCUACGGGAGGCAGCAGUGGGGAAUAUUGCACAAUGGGCGGAAGCCUGAUGCAGCAACGCCGCGUGCGGGAUGACGGCCUUCGGGUUGUAAACCGCUUUCGCCUGUGACGAAGCGUGAGUGACGGUAAUGGGUAAAGAAGCACCGGCUAACUACGUG
rnacentral:rRNA from 1 species